UACGUAGGGUCCUAGCGUUAAUCGGAAUUACUGGGCGUAAAGCGUGAGUAGGCGGCUUCGCAAGUCCGAUGUGAAAUCCCCGGGCUUAGCCUGGGAACUGCGUUGGAAACUAUGAGGCUAGAGUGCGGCAGAGGGGGGUGGAAUUCCAUGUGUAGCAGUGAAAUGCGUAGAGAUAUGGAGGAACACCGAUGGCGAAGGCAGCCCCCUGGGUUAGCACUGACGCUCAUACACGAAAGCGUGGGGAGCAAACAGG
rnacentral:rRNA from 1 species